CAACUGCUGCUUCAAGCAGUAACACACAUUCCAACUUUUUUUUUUAAUAAAAAAAAAAAAAAAAAAAAAUUAUAAACGAAAAAAAAAGAGCUGUGAGCGAAUAAGUAAAAUAAAUAAUCCCUGCUUGAAGCAUAUUUUAGCAUAAGUGAAAAGUGAACUAUUAAAAAAAAAAAAAAAAAAAAAAAAAACCAUAAAAAGAAUGAUAAUAAUAAUAAAAAUAAUACAAAAAGGACUUCUUGGCAAUUUCUUAUAUGAACGGCAACCCUAACAUGGGAGGUGAGCUCCCAGAGAUACACUGUACACACCGUCUCUUACACUACAAUACGCAAUUCAGCUACACGCACACAUUAACACCAACACCAACACAACACUACUGACUACACUAAAAAGCUUAUACUACACACAAACUGUUUGAUUCUUGGCCACACCAUGAAUGUACACUCAAUACACUCAAAUUGAAUGGUUCAAUACACUCAAUACACUCAACUAUACUCAACUAUACUCAACUAUACUCAACUAUACUCAACUAUACUCAACUAUACUCAACUAUACUCAACUAUACUCAACUAUACUCAACUAUACUCAACUAUACUCAACUAUACUCAACUACACUCGACUAUACCCAACUAUACUCAACUAUACUCAACUAUACUCAACUAUACUCAACUACACUCGACUAUACCCAACUAUACCCAACUAUACCCAAUCAUACUCUACUAUACUCUACUAUACUCUACUAUACUCAACUAGACUUUUGGCGAAGAGGUUACUCUAAACAUGGUCAGCAUCUUUGUCAAUACUAAUAGCUCGGAAAAGAAGAGUCAUGGAUCAGACGGCUGUCAAACACUAAUAUCUCUAUAUUCAGAAUUGUAUAUUCGCAAAUUAAAUUUUCUAUUACACCUGAA